AUCCUGAGGUAAUUAUUCCUGACUCCAAUUAGAGUCGUCGGGUCGGUAUUUUAUGCCGUAUUACUGCUGCUUCCGUUUAGUAAAAAUCCCCGAAACAGAGAGCUGAGGGACCCGCACUGGGGCGCGAGCCGAUCGGGAUUUCCGCGGUCGUGUCAGAGCGAGGAAACAGAAAAGAAGAGAAACUGCAUCCGAACAGCCCAAGAGGGUUUCUAACAGGGAUCUAUGCAAGCACCAGUCACACCACCAAAUUGACAGCGUUUCAACAUUGUGACUGUGCCGGCUGAUGAGUCAAUUCGCAUGAUGGCAGCAGAAGGGCAGGAAACCCUAUGGUUCACCUCAGUACAUACACAAUGACCACCAGUAGCACCAUCAUCAUCAUCAUCAUCAUCAUUUUGUAUGAAUGCAACUUUUCAAAGGGAUCCAGGUAACCUUCUAGACUCACAGCGAACCCGCACACAAACAGAAGAAGACACGGAGCAGGUAGGUGUGAAUAACUAGGUUUAUAUCGAGUGACUGGUCUGAGCUCUGGCCGAUAUUCUGGUCUCUGAACAAGCAGCAGUGAAUCAGUUUUGUGUAUCAGACGUGCGAAUAAACAAUUACACAGAGGUGAAAGCAAACUUUCACAGCCCAUCAGGACAUGGCAGCCAUCGAGGACUGUGACACACACUCAGAAGGUCAUGGGAGGACGAGACACAGAGGCUGGAUUCAUCACUUAGGGUUUAAGCACUAAAGGAUCUUUGAGGUGUCUUCUAGAAAACCCUAAGUUUAUAAUCAAAACCUUCGACCCCUCAAUAAGUAUUGGAGUCUAACAUUUUGCUCCAUACUACAACAAAAAGGUUCCUGAGAUAAUUAGUUCACAUAUUUAAUCUUUAAGUCUAUUUGUGUAAUACGCAAAAUCCGUGUUAGUUCAAUUAGUGAAAUUCGUUAAAAAACAAGUCCUUUACACUUUUCCGUCCACAAAGUGCU